GAUGAACGCUGGCGGCGUGCCUAAUACAUGCAAGUCGAGCGAACAGACGAGGAGCUUGCUCCUCUGACGUUAGCGGCGGACGGGUGAGUAACACGUGGAUAACCUACCUAUAAGACUGGGAUAACUUCGGGUAACCGGAGCUAAUACCGGAUAAUAUAUUGAACCGCAUGGUUCAAUAGUGAAAGACGGUUUUGCUGUCACUUAUAGAUGGAUCCGCGCCGCAUUAGCUAGUUGGUAAGGUAACGGCUUACCAAGGCAACGAUGCGUAGCCGACCUGAGAGGGUGAUCGGCCACACUGGAACUGAGACACGGUCCAGACUCCUACGGGAGGCAGCAGUAGGGAAUCUUCCGCAAUGGGAGAAAGCCUGACGGAGCAACGCCGCGUGAGUGAUGAAGGUCUUCGGAUCGUAAAACUCUGUUAUUAGGGAAGAACAAAUGUGUAAGUAACUAUGCACGUCUUGACGGUACCUAAUCAGAAAGCCACGGCUAACUACGUG
rnacentral:rRNA from 1 species